AUACAGUUCAUUCUCCCUUGACAUCUUUUUCCUGAUAAACCAAGAGGACAUUAAUUCAGUUGCCAUUAACUUUUGAAGUGUCUUUGCAGGCUUGGAUUUACUUUGGGCAACGUGGUUGGAAUGUAUCUGGCUCAGAACUAUGAUAUACCAAACCUGGCUAAAAAAAUUGAAGAGAUCAAAAAGGACUUGGAAGCCAAGAAGAAACCCCCCAGUUCCUGAGGCACUCUCCACUCCAGCACUCAUUCUGGAUUCACGGAUUCUGCCCAGUCACGCUGGAGAGCUCCUUUACCUCCUGACCCAAAGCUUCUGUUCUUAUCUCGUCUCAGCCAUUUCUUGCUAUACCCUGGGUGUUGCCUUAGAGCAGAAAGGGGGCCUCGAGUUCAGAAAUCCUCUGCUUCCAACAGCCUUGUCUCUCCCCUGUCUUCCUUCUGUCUCCUUGGGAGGCUCUAAGACUGGAAUUAUGGUGCUAGAUUAGCAAACAAGACCUUUAAUUCGUAGUUUCUCCCCUGUUGUUUGGAGUUUCUACUAUCUUUUGUCAAAAGAAAAAUUGAUGAGUUUUGUAUAAGUGAUCAGAAAAAAGUAAUGCUGAUUUUAUAGUUUAGCAAUUAUGAUGGGUGCUUGUUAAACACUUGUUACUAAAUUUUGUUGCCUCAAAGUAAUUAAAAUUAAUGUAUAGAAGCCAGUUUAUGGUUAAGUAUCCAUUUAUUUUAUACUUUUGUCAGUCAGUUCCACAGUUGAUCAUUUAACCCAUAAAUCAAUUAGUCAUUUGCUGAGAAAUUAUAUUUUGAGAGUCCAGUCAAAAUUGGGAAUUUUCAAAAAAUGCAAAACAGUUCCUUUUGUCUCAGUAGAAUUCACAGUUUAUU